rnacentral:rRNA from 1 species
AAUAGAUACCCUGGUAGUCCAUGCCGUAAACGUUGGGAACUAGAUGUAGGGCCUGUUCCACGGGUUCUGUGUCGUAGCUAACGCAUUAAGUUCCCCGCCUGGGGAGUACGGCCGCAAGGCUAAAACUCAAAGGAAUUGACGGGGGCCCGCACAAGCGGCGGAGCAUGCGGAUUAAUUCGAUGCAACGCGAAGAACCUUACCAAGGCUUGACAUAUAGAAGAACGGGCGAGAGAUCGUCAACUCUUUGGACACUUCUAUACAGGUGGUGCAUGGUUGUCGUCAGCUCGUGUCGUGAGAUGUUCGGUUAAGUCCGGCAACGAGCGCAACUCUCGUCCUAUGUUGCCAGCACGUUAUGGUGGGAACUCAUGGGAUACUGCCGUGGUCAACACGGAGGAAGGUGGGGAUGACGUCAAAUCAUCAUGCCCCUUAUGUCUUGGGCUUCACGCAUGCUACAAUGGCCGAUACAAAGGGCUGCGAUACCGCGAGGUGGAGCGAAUCCCAAAAAGUCGGUCUCAGUUCGGAUUGGGGU